AGAGUUUGAUCCUGGCUCAGGAUGAACGCUGGCGGCAUGCCUAAUACAUGCAAGUCGAACGAGAGGAAGGAAAGCUUGCUUUCCUGAAUCUAGUGGCGAACGGGUGUGUAACACGUAGGUAACCUGCCCAUGUGCCCGGGAUAACUUCUGGAAACGGAUGCUAAAACCGGAUAGGUAGCAGACAAGCAUUUGACUGCUAUUAAAGUGGCCUUGGCCAUGAACAUGGAUGGACCUGCGGUGCAUUAGCUGGUUGGUGAGGUAACGGCCCACCAAGGCGACGAUGCAUAGCCGGCCUGAGAGGGCGGACGGCCACAUUGGGACUGAGACACGGCCCAAACUCCUACGGGAGGCAGCAGUAGGGAAUUUUCGUCAAUGGGGGGAACCCUGAACGAGCAAUGCCGCGUGAGUGAGGAAGGUCUUCGGAUCGUAAAGCUCUGUUGUAAGAGAAAAACGGCACUCAUAGGGAAUGAUGAGUGAGUGAUGGUAUCUUACCAGAAAGUCACGGCUAACUACGUGCCAGCAGCCGCGGUAAUACGUAGGUGGCGAGCGUUAUCCGGAAUGAUUGGGCGUAAAGGGUGCGUAGGUGGCAGAUCAAGUCUGGAGUAAAAGGUAUGGGCUCAACCCGUACUGGCUCUGGAAACUGAUCCGCUAGAGAACAGAAGAGGACGGCGGAACUCCAUGUGUAGCGGUAAAAUGCGUAGAUAUAUGGAAGAACACCGGUGGCGAAGGCGGCCGUCUGGUCUGGAUUCUGACACUGAAGCACGAAAGCGUGGGGAGCAAAUAGGAUUAGAUACCCUAGUAGUCCACGCCGUAAACGAUGAGAACUAGGUGUUGGGGGAA
rnacentral:rRNA from 1 species